rnacentral:rRNA from 1 species
GUGGGGCUCAUGGCAUUGGGCGAAGCCUGACCGCGUGCCGCGUGUGUGAGAUGCCUGCGGGAUGUAAGCCAUUCAUAGGGAAGAAAGCCGAUGCCACUACCACUCGGUCUAUCGCUACCUAAGAAAGGCACCGGCUAACUCCGUGCCAGCAGCCGCGGUAAUACGGAGGGUGCGAGCGUUACUCGGAAUUCUGGGCGUAAAGGGCGCGUAGGCGGUGAACUAAGUCGGGUGUGAAAGCCCCGGGCCCAACCUGGGAACUGCCUCCGCUACUGCUCUCGCUAGAGUAUGGUAGAGGGAAGCGGAACUCCGGGUGUAGCGGUGAAAUGCGUAGAUCUCCGGAGGAACACCACUGGCGAAGGCGGCUUUCCUGGACCAAUACUGACGCUUGAGGCGCGAAAGCGUGGGGAUCAAACAGGAUUAGAUACCCUGGUAGUCCACGCCCUAAACGAUGAGAACUAGCCUUUGGAGGAAACCUAUUCUUUUAUUGGCGCACCUAACGCGGUAAUUUCUCCGCCUGGGGAUUACGGC